GCCCCCUUAGCUCAGCUGGAUAGAGCGUCCCCCUCCUAAGGGGAAGGUCUCAGGUUCGAAUCCUGAAGGGGGCGCCA
rnacentral:tRNA from 13 species